UUUAACUGGAGCCCGUCUUCAGCCAAUCAGACGUCUUCUUCUUAAACAGCCAAUCACAAGGGCUGGGCUGUGGGGAGCCCUGUCGCAUUGAUAGCCAAUGCGCUACUGAGCAUGCGCAUUGCAACCACGCCCCUCCAGGGGUGCUCACGUGUCAAACUUUUGUCGAGUGGAGAUUCCUUUUUGACUACCACGCAGUUCCUGCCGUUGUUGUCGUGCAGUUGGUGUACAACAUGGAGAAGAGGUUCCAGGAGAUUUUCAAUUUUAGGUCAAGGGGUGAAUUCCCAAAUUUAUAGUGAAUCUCAGAAAUGUGCUUUAAGAAGAUAUAUGCAGAAGCUCAAACUGAAGGUCCCGAACAGAAGCACGAUCACUGUUUAAUGAAGUACACUCGGCUUCAAUUGGUGCACACACAGGCACUGUUAAAAUCAGAUCCUCAAUGUACUCUAGAAAUUAUUGGGAUGGCAUGACAGUGGACAUUGACUGAUGGGUCUCUGAAUGCGACGGAUGUAACUCUUUGGCUGUGUGUGACACAGCCAUUACAAAGCAUUAAGGUGUCUGCUGUUUGGGAGUUGGUUGGGAUAGACCUGACUGGGCCUCUCCUAAAAACCAAGGAUGGCUUUCAGUACAUUCUUACUGCCACCAAUUAUUUUUCCAAGUGGGUUGAGGCCUUUCCUUUAAAAACCAAAACAGCAUCAGAAGUGGCAUAACGGAUCUGCUCAAUUGUUUAUAGACACAGAUGCCCCCAAAGAAUUCUGUCCGACCAAGGAAGAGAAUUUGUCAAUUAGCUCAACGAUAACCUUUGUGCCCUCCUGUGCAUUGAAAGGAGUGUUACAGCUGCAUAUCAUCCUCAGACGAAUGGGCUGGAUGAGAGGACAAAUAGCAACAUAAAACG